AGAGCUAUAGUUCAGUGGCAGAGCAUCAGCUUUUCAAGCAGAAGGUCCCAGGUUCAUUCCCUGGCACCUCCA